AUGAAGAUAAAAUUAAAUUCUCUCAUCGAACUAUACACUUUCUGCUCCCAUGGUUGAAAAACUUCCACCACGAGCAGAUGCAAGAGAAAAUUGUUGAGGCAACAAUUAAAGGCAUUGAUGCAUGCGAAGUGAAGGUUCCACAAGCUAAUUGUGCAAAAAAUGAAAGGAUAUUCUGUAACAACUGCAGAACAUCUAUAGUUGACUUCCACAGAAGCUGUGAUAAAUGUU